CACGGUAAACGAUGGAUGCCCGCUGUUUGCCAUUUGUGGUAAGCGGCCAAGCGAAAGCAUUAAGCAUCCCACCUGGGGAGUACGCCGGCAACGGUGAAACUCAAAGGAAUUGACGGGGGCCCGCACAAGCGGAGGAACAUGUGGUUUAAUUCGAUGAUACGCGAGGAACCUUACCCGGGCUUGAACUGCACAGGAAUGCGGGAGAGAUCCCAAAGCCCCUCGGGGCCUGUGUGGAGGUGCUGCAUGGUUGUCGUCAGCUCGUGCCGUGAGGUGUCGGCUUAAGUGCCAUAACGAGCGCAACCCUUCUCUUCAGUUGCCAUCACUUCGGGUGGGCACUCUGGAGACACUGCCACCGUAAGGUGUGAGGAAGGUGGGGAUGACGUCAAAUCAGCACGGCCCUUACGUCCGGGGCUACACACGUGUUACAAUGGCGCGUACAGAGGGCUGGCAUACGGUAACGUGCGUCUAAUCCUUAAAACGCGUCUCAGUUCGGACUGGGGUCUGCAACCCGACC
rnacentral:rRNA from 1 species